rnacentral:piRNA from 1 species
UGGGACGAUAUUACUUAGACUGCAGG